rnacentral:rRNA from 1 species
AACGCGAAGAACCUUACCUGGGUUUGACAUCUCCGGACAAACGUAGAGAUACGUCUUUCGUAGCAAUACGACCGGAUGACAGGUGCUGCAUGGCUGUCGUCAGCUCGUGUGGUGACAUGUUGGGUUAAGUCCCGCAACGAGCGCAACCCUUGUCUUUAGUUGCCAGCAUUCAGUUGGGCUCUCUAAAGAGACUGCCGUGGUUAACACGGAGGAAGGUGGGGAUGACGUCAAGUCCUCAUGGCCUUUAUAUCCAGGGCGACACACGUGAUACAAUGGACGAUACAGAGGGAAGCGAAUGCGCGAGCAGGAGCCAAUCUCAAAAAGUCGUUCUCAGUUCGGAUUGGAGUCUGCAACUCGACUCCAUGAAGUUGGAAUCGCUAGUAAUCGCGGAUCAGCACGCCGCGGUGAAUACGUUCCCGGGCCUUGUACACACCGGAGUGC